rnacentral:rRNA from 1 species
AUUGAACGCUGGCGGCAGGCCUAACACAUGCAAGUCGAACGAGUGGGGACGGGUGAGUAACACGUGGGUAACCUUCCCAUCAGAGGGGAUAACACUUUGAAACAGGUGCUAAACCGAUACUGAUGGAUGGACCAGUGGGGCAUUAGCUAGUUGGUGAGGUAACGGCUCACCAAGGCCACGAUGCAUAGCCGACCUGAGAGGGUGAUCGGCCACACUGGAACUGAGACACGGCCCAGACUCCUACGGGAGGCAGCAGUAGGGAAUAUUCGACAAUGGACGAAAGUCUGACCGAGCAACGCCGCGUGAGUGAAGAAGGUUUUCGGAUCGUAAAACUCUGUUAUUGGAGAAGCGGUAUCUAACCAGAAAGCCACGGCUAACUACGUGCCAGCAGCCGCGGUAAUUC